rnacentral:rRNA from 1 species
GAGUUUGAUCCUGGCUCAGGACGAACGCUGGCGGUGCGCCUAAUGCAUGCAAGUCGAACGGGCAAAGGGGCUUCGGCCCCCGAGCUAGUGGCAGACGGCUGAGUAACACGUAAGUGAUCUGCCCCAGAGAGGGGGAUAAGCCGGAGAAAUCCGGUCUAAUACCCCGUACGCUCUCUAAGUUACGGCGUAGAGAGGAAAGGCUCCGGCGCUCUGGGAGGAGCUUGCGGCCUAUCAAGGUUGUUGGUGGGGUAAAAGCCUACCAAGCCGAAGACGGGUAACCGGUGUGAGAGCACGAUCGGUCAGAGGGGGACUGAGACACGGCCCCCACUCCUACGGGAGCAGCAGCAGGGAAUCUUGCGCAAUGGGCGAAAGCCUGACGCAGCGACACCGCGUGGGGGAUGAAGGCUUUCGAGUUGUAAACCCCUUUUCUCUGGGGAUGAGAAAGGACAGUACCCGGGGAAUAAGGUUCGUGCUAACUACGUGGCAGCAGCCGCCGGUAACACGUAGGAACCGAGCGUUGUCCGGAUUUACUGGGCGUAAAGUGCGCGUAGGCGGUCCGUUAAGUCUCAUGUGAAAUCUCCCGGCUCAACUGGGAGAGGUCAUGGGAUACUGGCAGACUGGAGUACAGCAGAGGGGAGCGGAAUUCCCGGAGUAGUGGUGGAAUGCGUAGAUACCGGGAGGAACACCAGAGGCGAAGGCGGCUCCCUGGGCUGUAACUGACGCUGAGGCGCGAAAGCGUGGGUAGCAAACCGGAUUAGAUACCCUGGUAGUC